CUUGCUUCUCUUGAGAGCGGCGGACGGGUGAGUAAUGCCUAGGAAUCUGCCUGGUAGUGGGGGAUAACGUCCGGAAACGGACGCUAAUACCGCAUACGUCCUACGGGAGAAAGCAGGGGACCUUCGGGCCUUGCGCUAUCAGAUGAGCCUAGGUCGGAUUAGCUAGUUGGUGGGGUAAUGGCUCACCAAGGCGACGAUCCGUAACUGGUCUGAGAGGAUGAUCAGUCACACUGGAACUGAGACACGGUCCAGACUCCUACGGGAGGCAGCAGUGGGGAAUAUUGGACAAUGGGCGAAAGCCUGAUCCAGCCAUGCCGCGUGUGUGAAGAAGGUCUUCGGAUUGUAAAGCACUUUAAGUUGGGAGGAAGGGCAGUAAAUUAAUACUUUGCUGUUUUGACGUUACCGACAGAAUAAGCACCGGCUAACUCUGUGCCAGCAGCCGCGGUAAUACAGAGGGUGCAAGCGUUAAUCGGAAUUACUGGGCGUAAAGCGCGCGUAGGUGGUUCGUUAAGUUGGAUGUGAAAUCCCCGGGCUCAACCUGGGAACUGCAUUCA
rnacentral:rRNA from 1 species